GCGGGCCGCACCCGCAGGGUUUUCACUGCCGCGGGUCUCUUGUUAAAAUCAGUGACCGUCAAUCAACCCAGGACACAGUCUCUUUUGCAAAAUAUGCCCCAAAACUGCCGUGACCUCUCUGGUGCUCCAACUGCUGCCUUUGGUAUCCUCCACUGCGCUCUGGUUUGCUGCACCUCUGCGGAAAGCGCUGAUAAUUGAUAAUUAUCCUGUGGGGCCGGCACAGCGGCUGUGCAGCCUGUGGAGAGCUGCAGGGAGGGACAAUGGGGCCUGUCCCCGCUGUCCAGUGCAGCUCUGGGUGCUGGCCUUUCACCUUGAGCUCACUUCCAGGAAAAUUCCCAACAGCCUUAAUGUGAAGGGUACAGGAGGGGUGUGUGUAUGCAUACACAUAUUUAAAUAUAUUAAGACAUCUGAAUACUCAUUUUUUUAGGUUAUUUGGAGUAUAUUUUUUUUUUCUUAUCCUAUUUUUUUUCCAAAACAUUCUUUCCGCAAUUUUCUGCUUAGUGCAGUGGCUUGCUGUUUUUCACAGUGAUACCUGAUUAUUUGCAAGACUGAAUCUAUAUUUUUCAUUUGUGGAUGAAUUUCUGGGUUCCUUGGGAGCCAUUCCCUUGCAUUCUAUGGAGAGGCACUGGAAUAAAUGCAGGUUUCUUGAUUGCAAAGGGUCACAGUGUUGGAAUUUACCUCUCUUCCGCUUUUGGCAACAACAACCUCUGUGUAAAUCUGAUAAUAUGGGUGGCAAAUACAUGUUAGGUUAGAAAACGGUACAGCAGCUGCUGUGCUACUGGUAGUAACUUAGUCAAAUAGAUUCAGUGAUGUCCAAUAUUUAGACAUUUACUCUUGCAAAUACAAUGAGCCUUUGGGGUUCAGGAAAACCUGACAAAGCAGCUCCCUGAUUCUGGAUGCUAAAUGUAAUAAGGCUAAUCAUAAUAAUCCUUAUAAAAAUAAAAUUUCCAGCCCUUCCUAUUAUAUUAUACUCUAGAAACUGAAAAACAAUAUUUAAAGCAAAAAGCUUAUCAAAUCCAGAUUUUAGGUAUUUUGAUGGUUUGUUUUUGAUUUCCUUUUCUCCUGGGGAGUGGAGAGGGUGUGGGUUUUUUCCUCCAAAAUUAAAAUUCUGUAGUGUUUUCCCUCUCUGCUCUGCAGGGCAGUUUUCUCCUUUGAAACAUCUCGAGGUGUCCAGCUGUCCCACUGUGAUGGAGAACAGUGAAGUACCUUCAUAGUAGUAUCAGGAGAGUAGUGCUCUGGCUUAGGUGCUCUGUUGGAAUGAAAAUCAAAUUAUAAAUGAAGAUUUGUGGAGAGGCCAUGGAGAGAAGACAUGGAUGGCAUUAGAGGGCAGAGAGAGCAGCGCAGAGUAUCAAGAUUAGCCUGGAAGAAGAAGAAAGGACUCAGGGAAAAGUAAAUAUUUUUUCCUAAAGAAGAAGGGUUGUUUUGCUUAACAAAGAGUGCAAGCAAUAUGAGUUUACAAAGAAAGCCCAGCACAACAGUGGUAUAAAACUGGAUGGAAUAUGCUGGAAAUAGAAAUGUAUCUCCUGUAUCCUUAGAAUGUUAAAGCCUUGCUCAGCAAAACAAAGGAAGUGAUAAGAGUUCCUGCUCUACCCAGGGAUGUUCAAGAGCACAGCUUUUACUGACAUAAGUAUAUAUGAAGUGCAGGCUUUGGAAGUGAACUGCUUCACUAGUUCUACAAAGUCAGCUUCAAAAUUGCACUGUGAGAUGUAACUCUUGCAAUUUUCCAUUUGAGUUUUAGCUGAAAAAAAUAUAGAAUACAAUGCCACUUAUGCAGAAAACCACAACAAUGCAUAGUACUUAGUUCAAGAACACGCACUAAGGUGUUUGUGAAUGGUCCCACAAGAAGAUUAACUAAAUUAGGAAGUAACCAAAUAUUCAAAAGGAAUGGAGAAAUCCAAGAAUUGAAUGAUCUGCUCAGACACUUCACAAACAGACCCAACAGGCAACAUUUUCCCAAGAGAUUGCUCAUGGAAAUUAUUUGCUUCAUUUCAGUUGUUAACAAGCAUGAGCAGCUGAGCUCCACCUCCUCUGCGGCACAGAAGUGAUCUCCAAGGCUUUUGCCUACCAGCAUUACCAGCAGAAAAUGAUUAGGUUUGGACAGGUCCUCCUCUGUUAUUUCACUGACUCUCAAAUCCAUCUGGCUGCUUUGAGUAAAUGUGGAGAAAAAACAUGAAAAAUAUAUAUCCUGGGUUUACUUUGAUCUCUAAAAAUAAGGAUGAUUUUAUUUUAGGCAUAUAAUAAUAUUGUUAACCUCUGUUCACUAAGCAAUCCUUGCUUUUCCCUUGGUUCUCAGUUUGACACAUCUCCAGCAUGAAAUGGACUAAGAUUGCCAUGAAACUGAAAGCUCUGAGUGUGGAAAUUGGGGAAUGCAUAGACAGAUUCUUUUUUCCUUUUUAAACAUAUGCCAAUGAAUAAGUCCUUUUUCCUACCCCCUCAUAAGUUUUCUGAAAUUCUUGGUAAAUAUCACUACAAACCUCAGCUAGAAAGCCCAAAGCAAUUUUCCCUUAGGGGACUUCCGUUAGAGCCACAGAAUAUCAAAGGCCAAGAACCAGGGAUUGUCUCCAGCCUGAAAUGGAACACUGGUCCUGGUGAAAACUGCCACGAAGAUCAGAUCACUUUUCUACAUGAGCUUUGCCAAUGGGAAAGCAAGAGAAAAGCAGGAGAUCACUGCAGAGCACUAAAAAGAGCCAGGAAGCAGCUGCAAAUGUUCUUAUACUGACACACGUUUGGCCACCAUGAGCAGUUUAAAGGAGCAAAUAUGGAUGUAGAGGUAAAUCUCAGAGAGGAUGGGCAUUUAAACUAUAGUUGUUAGGUGCAUUGUCUCAUUGAAGUUGUAAGGUAACUUUCUUGCCUAUUAAGCAUUGUUCAGAAAAUUUAAAAAUCUAAACAUGUAAAAUAAAAUAUGAACAUGAAGCACUUUGAUUCACAGUAUUUCUAGUGCCUGUAGUGCACAGUAAACUUCUGUACCAUUGUUACCUGAGACAUACAUGAUGUAAAGAUACUUUUUAAGAAGAGACAAUUGCUUAAAUAUUGGCAGAGUAUUCUUUGCAAUCUUUAUGGCAAGAUCUUUACUGCUUGCACCAAUCUGCUGCAGAUGACGUGUGAACAGAGACAUUUGAGAUGGGUUAGAAGAAUUCCUGCUUCCAGCACUUGCACUGGAAUAAAACCUUCCUUACCUGAGCAGGCUGUUCCAACCUGGAAAGACAGGUUUUCUGGGGAAGGCAAAGAGCAUUUACUUGUCAGUUUACACACAUAUGGCAGGACACUUGUAAGACUUCCACAAGCCCAUGGCUGGGGAUCUGCAUCUUUAAUGGCCUAGAAGCCAGUGAAUAUUUCAUAAUAACCAUAAUUCCAGGAAAUAGAAACACUGAAUGACAGAACCCACUAUUUUGUUGUCAUACAUUCUGUUACCUAAACCUUGCCAUAUACAAUUUCAGGACACCUAAGAAGGUCUGCAAUAUAUUACAUAGUUUUUACAGUGAAAGCAGAAGCUAUGUUUAAACACAUAGAGAAGGGAGUCAAAAGAAAAAUGGAUAUUGAGGGUUAUCAUAUAUUUGUCUGCAACCAGGACCAGCCCUAGUGAUGGCCACACAAAGUUUGGGCAGCCAGCUGUUGAUUGUCUCAAUUAAAAGGCAUUCAAAAUUUAAGGCUGCUCAGCUAUCUUAAAAGUAUCUGAAAAAAUUGUCCAUAAACUGGAGUUAUUUGCAUAUAUGUUUUUAAACAUUAUCAAUGUUUUAGAGAAAAAACAGUCCUUCAAAUUAUGUUUCAGCUAUGUUAGUUUUAAUUGAAGGCAUUUGGAGAUAAAUACCUGUUACAGAUUUUACAGAGAUUUUGCUACCAAUGGCAGAACAAUUUCUUGAUUAAUGUUGUUGAGUUACAUGAACAGGAAUUGAGAAAUUCGGUAAUUCUGAAAAUAGUGAAUACUUCUUCUGUUCUUCUUCUUACUAUCCUUUAAUGAAACUUUCUGUCAAAGUAGUUGCAUAUUACCUAGUAAUUAAACAUCCAAAGUACUUAUGGUACAUUUAUUUUCAUGAAAUACAUGUUUUCAUUAGUUAGCAUUUAUAUGUUGUAGUUGUUUUGCUACAUGUGACAGCAUUUUUAGAGUUGCCUCACCUUUGAAAGUAUCUCAAAUAUUAAAAUAUCUCAAAUAUUUAAUUUUAACUUAUUAAUGUUGUCAUUUG